rnacentral:rRNA from 1 species
GAUGAACGCUGGCGGCGUGCCUAAUACAUGCAAGUCGAGCGAACAGACGAGGAGCUUGCUCCUCUGACGUUAGCGGCGGACGGGUGAGUAACACGUGGAUAACCUACCUAUAAGACUGGGAUAACUUCGGGAAACCGGAGCUAAUACCGGAUAAUAUAUUGAACCGCAUGGUUCAAUAGUGAAAGACGGUUUUGCUGUCACUUAUAGAUGGAUCCGCGCCGCAUUAGCUAGUUGGUAAGGUAACGGCUUACCAAGGCAACGAUGCGUAGCCGACCUGAGAGGGUGAUCGCCCACACUGGAACUGAGACACGGUCCAGACUCCUACGGGAGGCAGCAGUAGGGAACCUUCCGCAAUGGGCGAAAGCCUGACGGAGCAACGCCGCGUGAGUGAUGAAGGUCUUCGGAUCGUAAAACUCUGUUAUUAGGGAAGAACAAAUGUGUAAGUAACUAUGCACGUCUUGACGGUACCUAAUCAGAAAGCCACGGCUAACUACGUG